UAUGUUAAGAAGAAACAGCCGUUUCUCACCUUACAGCAAAGCUAGUGAGGUUACUACAGUUUUUGUUAGAAUUGUAUUUUCAGGACGGCUUAAGCCGUCCUUUUUUAUAUGU
rfam:Clostridium carboxidivorans P7 ctg00088, whole genome shotgun sequence.